GUGACAGAGCAGGACUCUAUCUCGAAAAAAAAAAAAAGAAAGAAAAAAAUUGUCUGUUCAUGGCAACACAGGCUUUUUCUAGCCUGCACUUCAAAACUCUUCUAACCUCUACCCAUUACCCAGUUCCCAAGCUUCUUCCACGUUGUAUUUGUUAGAGUAGCACCCAAAAUGUUUGGUGCCAAUUUUCUGUCUUAAUCCAUUUGGGCUGCUCUAACAAAAUACCGAAGAAUGGGGACUCAUAAACAACAUAAAUGUAUGUCUUACAGUUCUGGAGGCUGGGAAGUCCCCAGCUGACACCAGCAUAGUUGGGUUCUGUGGGGAGGGGAACACAAAAACAUUCAGACCAUAGCACUAGGGGAGGGAGGGGGUGUGGAAGCUAGGGCUGAGGGAAGAGCCCAAAGCAACAUAUGCAGAUAGAAGAGACAGAAAGGAGACCGACUACCCCAGGUCCAGGCUCCAGGGGACACACUGCUUUGUAAUUUCUGCUCUUGGAUCCACCUCAUCCCUAUCUUGUUUGGCAAAAUCCGAAUGGCAGCUACCUAGCUGGGUGGCCAAGGAUGUGGAGAAGCAGUGUCCUCCUCAGUGCUGGGGAGGCUGCACAUCCACCGUCCACCGCUCCUAUGGUGGCUGCUGGGCAAUGUCCAGAGGUUACCAGCGAGCUUGCCCUCAACACAGAGAUUCCUCAAGUUUAUGUUGCACGUUACCAACAUGCCCACCCUUCAGUCCAGAAGUUACCAGCGUGCUCGCCCCUCAGUGCAGAGAUUUCUAAAGUUUAU